rnacentral:tRNA from 1 species
GUUCCUGUAGUUAAGAAAUAACGGUGGCUUUUCAGGCCACAGGCCUUGGGGAAAAACCAAGUAGGAACU